GGACAGAAAGACCCUAUGAAGCUUUACUGUAACUUGAAAUUGAAAUUGGACUUUAUUUGCGCAGUAUAGGUGGGAGGCAUUGAAAAUAUUCUUGCGGGAGUAUUGGAGCCAUCAGUGAGAUACCACUCUUGUAAUGUUAGAUUUCUAACCUUGGAUCAUUAUCUGGUCAAAGAACAGUUUCAGGCGGGCAGUUUGACUGGGGCGGUCGCCUCCCAAACGGUAACGGAGGCGUACAAAGGUUUCCUCUGAACGGGUAGAAAUCGUAUCUAGAGUGUAAAGGCAUAAGGAAGCUUGACUGUGAGACCUACAAGUCGAGCAGGGACGAAAGUCGGUCUUAGUGAUCUGACGGUGCUGAGUGGAAAGGCCGUCACUCAACGGAUAAAAGUUACUCUAGGGAUAACAGGCUGA
rnacentral:rRNA from 1 species